ensembl:snRNA U7 U7 small nuclear RNA
AAGUGUUACAGCUCUUUUAGAAUUUGUCUAGCGGGCUUUCCAGUUUUUGCCGGAAAGCCCCU